rnacentral:lncRNA from 1 species
AUAGAUCGCGCGAGGCUUGGCUCAAAAAAGUGAUCGCGCGCGAACAGCCCUGUGCUACGGUACUGAGGUAAACAGAAAACUGCGGAUCCGCUUCGUUCGGACUUGGGUUUUAAAGCGAUGGACAUGUUGGACAUGUUAUUACAGCAAACAUACUAUCGACAUUUCGAGAGAGAGGCAAAUUAUCACUACCUCACUAACUUACCUCCAAGACAAGAGUCAGGAUUCUGCAGUGAGGUGAACAUCUUGGUUCUCAAGGAGGUUACUACCAAAUCUGUCUCUAUGAAACUGCGGCGCAGCACAGUCCUGAGAAGCCGACGGCUUCAUCAGCGAGAACAUGUGAAGGACUCUGAGAGCAUCUCUGUGGUGUUGAGUGACACUGACUCUAGUCAGUCAGACAGUGUGGAAGAAAUAAAAGAUCAUCUGUCUGUUAUUCGUGAUCUGAAGCGGCCAGUAAGGAAGAG